rfam:Aedes aegypti strain Liverpool supercont1.44 genomic scaffold, whole genome shotgun sequence.
GGCUCGGUAGCUUAGUUGGUAAUGCGCUCGUCUAGCAUACAAGAGUUCUAGGCUCGAAUCCCAGCCGAGCAC